rnacentral:rRNA from 1 species
CCUACGGGAGGCAGCAGUGGGGGAUAUUGCACAAUGGGGGAAACCCUGAUGCAGCGACGCCGCGUGGGUGAAGAAGCGCCUCGGCGCGUAAAGCCCUGUCAGCAGGGAAGAAAAUGACGGUACCUGAAGAAGAAGCCCCGGCUAACUACGUGCCAGCAGCCGCGGUAAUACGUCGGGGGCAAGCGUUAUCCGGAUGUACUGGGGUUAAAGGGGGCGCAGACGGCGAUGCAAGCCAGGAGUGAAAGCCCGGGGCCCAACCCCGGGACUGAUCUUGGAACUGCGUGGCUAGAGUGCAGGAGGGGCAGGCGGAAUUCCUGGUGUAGCGGUGAAAUGCGUAGAUAUCAGGAGGAACACCGGUGGCGAAGGCGGCCUGCUGGACUGCAACUGACGUUGAGGCCCGAAAGCGUGGGGAGCAAACAGGAUUAGAUACCCCUGUAGUC